rnacentral:rRNA from 1 species
CCUACGGGGGGCUGCAGUGGGGAAUAUUGGACAAUGGGCGAAAGCCUGAUCCAGCCAUGCCGCGUGUGCGAAGAAGGCCUUCGGGUUGUAAAGCACUUUCAGUGGGGAAGAAAGCCUUGGGGCUAAUACCCUCGAGGAAGGACAUCACCCACAGAAGAAGCACCGGCUAACUCCGUGCCAGCAGCCGCGGUAAUACGGAGGGUGCGAGCGUUAAUCGGAAUUACUGGGCGUAAAGCGCGCGUAGGCGGUCUGAUAAGCCGGUUGUGAAAGCCCCGGGCUCAACCUGGGAACGGCAUCCGGAACUGUCAGGCUAGAGUGCAGGAGAGGAAGGUAGAAUUCCCGGUGUAGCGGUGAAAUGCGUAGAGAUCGGGAGGAAUACCAGUGGCGAAGGCGGCCUUCUGGACUGACACUGACGCUGAGGUGCGAAAGCGUGGGUAGCAAACAGGAUUAGAUACCCGAGUAGUC